AGGGCCGGAGGGAGGAGCCUGUGGGCCGGCGGACGGAGAUCGGCGGGCACCUGACGUCUGUCAGCCCAGCGAGAGCAACGUGCGGCGGCCGCGGCAGGGCGGGCAGUCGGCAUCGCACCCCGCCUCCUCGACUCGAUAGGCCGAAUGGCCUACUUCUGCUCCCUUGUCUUGUGAUACUAUUUUUAUAUGACAAUUUCCUGAAACACAAGCCAUCAGAACAACUGCUCCUCAACAAAAUAUGCUGCCUGGCCUGCUGAGUUCCUCCAGCGUCAUCGUGCUUUUCAUCAACGUAAUGAGUUGCUUUCUUCAUGAAGCUUCAAGGCCAGUAACAACCCUGCCCAAUUAGAAUGUCAAUGGCUGUAGACAAUAGGCACCAGCAAUCUCCUUUGAAUGUAAACAGGGCUUCAAUCAGGCUUCUGGCAAAGUUACAGUGUCAGUCAGGCCUUGUUGGGGACAUUUGUAGCCUAUUAGAGAACAUUACCAGGGCUGUUUGAGUCUGGGGUGACCCAACAAUGCACCACUUUAAUUUAUAUUAGGAGCUAGAGGAAGCGAGCUGUGUAAAUGAAUUAACACAGCUUUGGUGCUCUUGAACCCAGAAAGCUGCAGCAGAGAGAAUGGGAAUGAUCACAUCUCACUGUGUUUGCUGUCAACCGUGUCACUAAUGAUCUGUAACCUUGAACGGUCAUCUCCAGAGUCUUGAUACUUAAAUAAACUGACUCUUCAUGCAGCUGCUGAGCUCCUCUCAGUCCUGGUGCCCUGGCCAACAAUUUCAAUGGCACAGCCACGUUGCCAAAGGUUCACGUGUACUUUCAGUGCAUGGCUACAUGAUAUACUUGGAAAGCAUUCCACUUGUCAACAGGACAUCAGUGGAGGAUUUCACAAAGCUUGU